rnacentral:rRNA from 1 species
UACGAAGGGGGCUAGCGUUGUUCGGAAUGACUGGGCGUAAAGCGCGCGUAGGCGGAUCAGGAAGUUGGGGGUGAAAUCCCGGGGCUCAACCCCGGAAUGGCCUUCAAAACUCCUGGUCUUGAGUUCGAGAGAGGUGAGUGGAAUUCCGAGUGUAGAGGUGAAAUUCGUAGAUAUUCGGAGGAACACCAGUGGCGAAGGCGGCUCACUGGCUCGACACUGACGCUGAGGUGCGAAAGCGUGGGGAGCAAACAGG